AGUAUUUCGGUACGUAAAGUUCUUUUAUUAGGGAAGAAUAAAUGAUGGAAAAAUCAUUCUGACGGUACCUAAUGAAUAAGCCCCGGCUAACUAUGUGCCAGCAGCCGCGGUAAUACAUAGGGGGCAAGCGUUAUCCGGAAUUAUUGGGCGUAAAGGGUGCGUAGGCGGUUAAAUAAGUUUAUGGUCUAAGUGCAAUGCUCAACAUUGUGAUGCUAUAAAAACUGUUUAGCUAGAGUAAGAUAGAGGCAAGUGGAAUUCCAUGUGUAGUGGUAAAAUGCGUAAAUAUAUGGAGGAACACCAGUAGCGAAGGCGGCUUGCUGGGUCUUUACUGACGCUGAGGCACGAAAGCGUGGGGAGCAAACAGGAUUAGAUACCCUGGUAGUCCACGCCGUAAACGAUGAGUACUAAACGUUGGGUAAAACCAGUGUUGAAGUUAACACAUUAAGUACUCCGCCUGAGUAGUACGUACGCAAGUAUGAAACUUAAAGGAAUUGACGGGACUCCGCACAAGCGGUGGAUCAUGUUGUUUAAUUCGAAGGUACCCGAAAAACCUCACCAGGUCUUGACAUGCUUCUGCAAAGCUGUAGAAACACAGUGGAGGUUAUCAGUUGCACAGGUGGUGCAUGGUUGUCGUCAGCUCGUGUCGUGAGAUGUUGGGUUAAGUCCCGCAACGAGCGCAACCCUUAUUGUUAGUUACCAGCACGUAAUGGUGGGGACUUUAGCAAGACUGCCAGUGAUGAAUUGGAGGAAGGUGGGGACGACGUCAAAUCAUCAUGCCCCUUAUGACCUGGG
rnacentral:rRNA from 1 species